CGUCAGGAUGAACGCUGGCGGCGUGCUUAACACAUGCAAGUCGAACGAUGAUGCUGGUGCUUGCACCGGUGGAUUAGUGGCGAACGGGUGAGUAACACGUGAGUAACCUGCCCCUGACUUCGGGAUAAGCCCGGGAAACUGGGUCUAAUACCGGAUAUGACUUCCUGCUGCAUGGCAGGGGGUGGAAAGAUUUAUCGGUUGGGGAUGGACUCGCGGCCUAUCAGCUUGUUGGUGAGGUAAUGGCUCACCAAGGCGACGACGGGUAGCCGGCCUGAGAGGGUGACCGGCCACACUGGGACUGAGACACGGCCCAGACUCCUACGGGAGGCAGCAGUGGGGAAUAUUGCACAAUGGGCGAAAGCCUGAUGCAGCGACGCCGCGUGAGGGAUGACGGCCUUCGGGUUGUAAACCUCUUUCAGUAGGGAAGAAGCCCCUUUUGGGGGUGACGGUACUUGCAGAAGAAGCGCCGGCUAACUACGUGCCAGCAGCCGCGGUAAUACGUAGGGCGCAAGCGUUAUCCGGAAUUAUUGGGCGUAAAGAGCUCGUAGGCGGUUUGUCGCGUCUGCCGUGAAAGUCCGAGGCUCAACCUCGGAUCUGCGGUGGGUACGGGCAGACUAGAGUGAUGUAGGGGAGACUGGAAUUCCUGGUGUAGCGGUGAAAUGCGCAGAUAUCAGGAGGAACACCGAUGGCGAAGGCAGGUCUCUGGGCAUUUACUGACGCUGAGGAGCGAAAGCAUGGGGAGCGAACAGGAUUAGAUACCCUGGUAGUCCAUGCCGUAAACGUUGGGCACUAGGUGUGGGGGACAUUCCACGUUUUCCGCGCCGUAGCUAACGCAUUAAGUGCCCCGCC
rnacentral:rRNA from 1 species